rnacentral:rRNA from 1 species
CUACGGGGCGCAGCAGUGGGGAAUAUUGGACAAUGGGCGCAAGCCUGAUCCAGCAAUGCCGCGUGAGUGAAGACGGCCUUAGGGUUGCAAAACUCUUUCGCUAGGGAAGAUAAUGACUGUACCUAGUAAAGAAGUCCCGGCUAACUCCGUGCCAGCGGCCGCGGUAAUACGGAGGGGACUAGCGUUGUUCGGAAUUACCGGGCGUAAAGAGUUCGUAGGCGGACUGACAAGUUAGAGGUGAAAUCCCAGGGCUCAACCCUGGAACUGCCUUUAAAACUGUCAGUCUAGAGACCGGAAGAGGUUAGGGGAAUACCUAGUGUAGAGGUGAAAUUCGUAGAUAUUAGGUGGAACACCAGUGGCGAAGGCGCCUAACUGGUCCGGUACUGAAGCUGAGGAACGAAAGCGUGGGGAGCAAACAGGAUUAGAUACCCGCGUAGUC